GACGCCGCGUGCGGGAAGAAGGCCUUCGGGUUGUAAACCGCUUUCAGGAGGGACGAAGCCACUCGGGUUAAUAGCCCAGAGGGUGACGGUACCUCCAGAAGAAGCCCCGGCUAACUACGUGCCAGCCCCUGCGGUGACUGAGCGGGCUGGCAAGGCGCAUA
rnacentral:rRNA from 1 species